GGAGAGGUGGCCGAGUGGUUUAAGGCGCAGGUCUCGAAAACCUGUUGGGGGCAACCCCUCGUGAGUUCAAAUCUCACCCUCUCCG
rnacentral:tRNA from 2 species